GGCCCGUGGUCUAGCGGCUAUGACGCCCGCCUGACACGCGGGAGAGCGUAAGCCCCGAGGUCGGGGGUUCAAAUCCCCCCGGGCCCA
rnacentral:tRNA from 1 species